GAUGAAGAACGUAGCGAAAUGCGAUAAGUAGUGUGAAUUGCAGAAUUCAGUGAAUCAUCGAAUCUUUGAACGCACAUUGCGCCCUUUGGUAUUCCUUAGGGCAUGCCUGUUCGAGCGUCAUUUAAACCUUCAAGCUAAGCUUGGUGUUGGGUGACUGUCCGCUUCACGGCGGACUCGCCUCAAAAUUAUUGGCGGCCGGUACAUUGGCUUCGAGCGCAGCAGAAACGCGAACUCGGGCCCGUCGUAUUGGCUCCCAGAAGCUAUCUUCACAAUUUUGACCUCGGAUCAGGUAGGGAUACCCGCUGAACUUAAGCGUAUCAAUAAGCGGAGGA
rnacentral:misc_RNA from 1 species